UACAGAGGUCUCAAGCGUUGUUCGGAUUCAUUGGGCGUAAAGGGUGCGUAGGCGGCGCGGUAAGUCGGGUGUGAAAUCUCGGAGCUUAACUCCGAAACUGCAUUCGAUACUGCCGUGCUUGAGGACUGGAGAGGAGACUGGAAUUUACGGUGUAGCGGUGAAAUGCGUAGAUAUCGUAAGGAAGACCAGUGGCGAAGGCGGGUCUCUGGAGCUUUGCUGACGCUGAGGCGCGAAAGCGUGGGGAGCGAUCCGG
rnacentral:rRNA from 1 species